AUUGAACGCUGGCGGCAUGCCUUACACAUGCAAGUCGAACGGUAACAGGUCUUCGGAUGCUGACGAGUGGCGAACGGGUGAGUAAUACAUCGGAACGUGCCCGAGAGUGGGGGAUAACGAGGCGAAAGCUUUGCUAAUACCGCAUACGAUCUCCGGAUGAAAGCAGGGGACCGCAAGGCCUUGCGCUCACGGAGCGGGCGAUGGCAGAUUAGGGAGUUGGUGGGAUAAAAGCUUACCAAGCCGACGAUCUGUAGCUGGUCUGAGAGGACGACCAGCCACACUGGGACUGAGACACGGCCCAGACUCCUACGGGAGGCAGCAGUGGGGAAUUUUGGACAAUGGGCGCAAGCCUGAUCCAGCCAUGCCGCGUGCAGGAUGAAGGCCUUCGGGUUGUAAACUGCUUUUGUACGGAACGAAAAGACUUCUUCUAAUAAAGGGGGUCCAUGACGGUACCGUAAGAAUAAGCACCGGCUAACUACGUGCCAGCCGCCGCAGUAACAC
rnacentral:rRNA from 1 species